GACGGGGGUCCUAGCGUUGUUCGGAAUUAUUGGGCGUAAAGCGUGUGCAGGUGGUUUGAAAAGUUGGAUGUGAAAGCCCCGGGCUUAACUCGGGAAGUGCAUUCAAAACUGUCAAACUUGAGUAUGGAAGAGGGUCGUGGAAUUCCACAUGUAGUGGUGAAAUACGUAGAUAUGUGGAGGAACACCGGUGGCGAAGGCGGCGACCUGGUCCAAUACUGACACUCAUACACGAAAGCGUGGGGAUCAAACAGG
rnacentral:rRNA from 1 species